UACAGAGGUCUCAAGCGUUGCUCGGAUUUACUGGGCGUAAAGGGUGCGUAGGUAGUGCUUCAAGUCCGCGGUGAAAUACCAGAGCCCAACUCUGGAAGCGCCACGGAAACUGAUUCGCUAGAGGUAUGGAUGGGAAGUUGGAAUUCUCGGUGUAGCAGUGAAAUGCGUAGAUAUCGAGAGGAACCCCGUUCGCGAAGGCAAACUUCUGGACAUAUCCUGACACUGAUGCACGAAAGCUAGGGGAGCAAACGGGA
rnacentral:rRNA from 1 species